rnacentral:snRNA from 1 species
GGAUGUGAGGGUGCUCUGACUGCAACAUCUGUCACCCCAUUGUUCACCAGGGUUGAUUCGGCUGAUCUGAAUGGCUAGGCGAGUGUUCCUUUUCUCCCUCACUGCGCCAUGUGCGUCCCUCCCAAAGCUGCAUGCCAGUCAAAGAGGACAGUCUUCCCUGAGUAGAGACGGACCAUUCUUCGGUCAAGGGUAUACGAGUAGCUACACUCGCCCACUCCCCUGUUAGAAGCUCCAAACAAGCUCUCGAGGUCACCAGUAGGAGAACAUAGGUCAGGCUUCUAAGACUCCAGACACAUCCACAUGAGGUGCUGCACUUGGCAUCUGUCGCUCUU